rnacentral:lncRNA from 1 species
CCCGCCCCUGCCGCGCACGCACGCACACGCGCCUCCUACACACACCGUUACGCACGCGCCCCAGCCUGGCGUUCAGGCCGCACCCCGCCCCAGCCCGCCAGCCGCGCGCCCCGGGAUCCUAGAAUCGGCGUUUCCCCGCCGGCGCCCCAGCCGCCACUCCGUGACGGACAUUGGGGGCCUUCCGCCGAGAGCGCGCUCGUGACGCACGGAACACGCUCCUUCCGCGGGGCGGCGCACAAGCUUCUGGGAAACGUAGUUCGGCCUUCCGUCCCCCUCGAGCGGGACCGCGAACGCCUGGAAGCGGGCGCCGAGGACGGGGAAGACUUUGGGUGAAAUGCAUCCCUCCUGUGACUGGACUGGAGAAACAAGAACAGAAACAU